ACCUGGUUGAUCCUGCCAGUAGCAUAUGCUUGACUUGGAGAUUAAGCCAUGCAUGUCUAAGUAUAAGUUAUAUAUUGCGAAACUGCGAAUGGCUCAUUAAAACAGUUAUAAUUUAUUUGAUGAUCUUUUUACAUGGAUAACCGUGGGAAACUAGGGCCAAUACAUGCUUAAAAGCCGAAAGGUGGUAUUUAUUAGUUUCAAAUCAAUGUAACUCAGUUAUUUCGUGAGGAAUCAUAAUAACUAAACGAAGCGCAGCGAUGCGCUACAUCAUUCAAGUUUCUGCCCUAUCAGCUUUCGAUGGUAGUGUAUUGGACUACCAUGGCAAUAACGGGUAACGGAGAAUUGGGGUUCGAUUCCGGAGAGGGAGCCUGAGAAACGGCUACCAUUUCUAAGGAAGGCAGCAGGCGCGUAAAUUACCCAAUCCUAAUUCAGGGAGGUAGUUAAUAGAAAUAAUAGGUUCGGCUCUUUGAGCUCUGAACAUAUAAUGAGUUAAAUUUAAAAUACUUUUUGAAUCCUAUUGGAGGGAAAGUCUGGUGCCAGCAGCCGCGGUAAUUCCAGCUCCAAUAGCGUAUAUUAAAGUUGUUGCAGUUAAAAAGCUCGUAGUUGAAACUCCGGCGCGUAUGCGUCUGUCUGGAAAGCCGGUUGAUACCGUAAAAAGUUUUGGCCGGUCGAACAGACUUUUACUGUGAACAAAUUAAAGUGCUCAAAGCAGGCUUUUGCUUGAAUAGUUCAGCAUGGAAUAAUAGAAUACGACUUUAUUCAUUUUAUUGGUUAUUGGAUAAAGUAAUGAUUAACAGGAACAGUUGGGGGCAUUCGUAUUUGAUAGUCAGAGGUGAAAUUCUUAGAUUUAUCAAAGACGGUCUAAAGCGAAAGCAUUUGCCAAGGAUGUUUUCAUUAAUCAAGAACGAAAGUUAGGGGAUCAAAGACGAUUAGAUACCGUCGUAGUCCUAACUAUAAACUAUGCCGACUAGGGAUUGGUGAGGAAAACCCUCAUCAGCACCUAAUGAGAAAUCAAAGUCUUUGGGCUCUGGGGGGAGUAUGGUCGCAAGGCUGAAACUUAAA
rnacentral:rRNA from 1 species